CAAAACCUCAAACGUAAUUAAAAGGAUGUCCAGUUCACCAGAAGAAAAUCAAACUUUCAGAACGGGUGGCCACUCUGAAUUCCCUCACAGCUCCAAGCCCACUAUGGUUGGGGAUUACCUGCAUGGAUGAAAAUAAAAGGGGUGAGUUUGGGGAAACUCAGUGUGUAAAAUAACCCAACCAUAGUCUAAAUCAGCUCAACCUACAGAAACAGAAUAAGUUGGCCUUAGCCCAGAACAGAAAUUCAGAAUAAAGCCCAUAGGCCCAUAACAGAACAGAACAGAUAUUACAUGUUUAUGCAGAAACCCAACCCAGAUUCAUCCAUAACACCCCCGUACCAGCCUUACACCAUGUGGGGAGACUACUCGACCCACCCAACUGCUACACACCACAGAAAUCGCAGCGAGGCUGCCAGAUAUUGUGACGAAGUCACCAGAUAGAAAUAUUGUGGCAGAGCCACCAGAACAGAUAUAUGUGGCAGAGCCACCAGAUCAGAUAAUCGUGGCAUAGCCACCAGAACAGAUAUAUGUGGCAGAGCCACCAGAUCAGAUAAUUGUGGCAUAGCCACCAGGACGCUUCCUCCAUAAUAUAACCCAUGUCCCCAUGCAACAGAUAUAUAAUCAUGGCAUACAUCAUACAGAAUCAGAUCGUCAUGCUUUUCAGUCAAAAUUAAUCCUAGGGGUAUAACGGUAAUUUUGCACCUAGGGGUAUAAUAGUAAUUUUCCAUACAUAGGGGUAUUAUAGUAAUUUAGCUACUUUUAGGGUUUUCAUGCAUAUCCUAACUAUUUACGUACUAUCAGAACACUUACCGCGCAUACUUACCGAAUUGGGCCCGUUGGCCCAUGAAUCCGAUCUUUGGCCCAUUAAGCCCAAUUUAUCAAAAUGUACGAAAUCGCGCGUACUGCAGUUUAAUACUUUAGAUUACCAAAUAUACAAACCCAACUAUCUUACGAGCAUUCGCACACUCGCAAAUUCCCAAAAUACUGACUUUUCGGCAUUUCGGCUUUUUGGCUUUUGCCAAUCUAGUCUAUGAGAGGGUGUCAGUUACACACCUGUUUGCGAUGAUAUGCUGACGAGAUCCACACAUGAACCGCCUACAAUUGGAUUACUAACACGUUAAUCUAACUAUUCAAAUACAAACUACGUAUUAACCUCUUACAAUAUUCGGCCAACCACACUUACAGGUCAUAGUAAGCUUAUAAGAAAACAAUAAGCAACUCAUUAACAAAUUUUUGUCAAUGUUUACCACAUAAUCAUAAUUUCACUGCAAGCUGUCUUCCUGAGCAACAGUCACUAAAUUAUUUAUAACUGGAGCUACGAAACUCCAAAUCAAGUUCCGUUAAUUUUCCCUGAAAAUAGACUCAUAUAUCUUCUAUCCAUAAAAUUUUCAGAAUUUUUGGUAUGGCCAAUCAAUACCAGAUUUUUCUUAAAUUUUCCCAUGUUUCACUGUUUGACUAAUCUGAUCACUCUUCAUUACGAAUCAAAUUUCUCAUUGUACAGAAUCCAAAAUAUGUUCUCGUUUAUUCCAUUUGAAACUAGACUCAUUAAGCUUUAAUUACAUAAUUUAUGCAGCUUCUAUCUCAUCUCCCACAAUUUAUGGUGAUUUUCCAAAGUCACGUUACUGCUGCUGUCCCAAGUAGAUUUAUUACCAAAUCACUCUUUCACACCUAACUUGCAUGCUUGUUAUUUAAACAUGUAUAUCACCAAUAAAUCAUCGCAUAUCUAUGAUUUUACUUAAGUAUAAUCUCCAUUUCAUCAUUUUAAAGCACAACAUGUUAGCCGAUUUUUCCCCUUAGCAUCUAAGGCACAUGCAUGCUCAUUUGUUUGGCUCAACUUCACCUAUCUUCCAUUUUUCAUCAAAAGAACAUGAAACAACAACCAUUUCCUUGAUUUUAAUUCAUGACUAAAUGCUCACAACACAACUAAAAACCAAAAUAUGCUUCAAGAGUUAAGGUAGAAUCAAGAAGAACUCAUGAACAUCAAGAUAGAAGCAAACUACCAUGAACUUACCUUCAAUUUUCUUCCCCAAGUGACCGAACAUUCAAGAGCUUCCUCCUCUUCUUUCUCUUCUCUAACUUUCGGCUAUGAUGAACAAAGAUGGAC
rnacentral:lncRNA from 1 species